AACGACUCUCGGCAACGGAUAUCUCGGCUCUCGCGAUCGAUGAAGAACGUAGCGAAAUGCGAUACUUGGUGUGAAUUGCAGAAUCCCGUGAACCAUCGAGUCUUUGAACGCAAGUUGCGCCCAAAGCCAUUUCGGCAGGCAGUCUGCCUGGGCGUCACGC
rnacentral:rRNA from 1 species